AAAUUGCUGCCAACAAUUGGGAUAGCCUUUCCUCCAAUUUUCAAUCUCUUGUACAUACGUUAAUUCUGCUUGAACGCGAAUCUGUAUUAUCCGACCUACAGUCUCCUGCAGAUGAAUAAUGUGUUUGUUUUGCUUAAUAGCUUCCUCUACCAAAUGAAAUUCAGUGGUAUCAGCCAUGGUUAACAGCAACACUAGUUGACAAACAGUGUCAAUACAUAUGUAGUAUAGGAGAAAGAAAAUCUUUGGCUGGACCAGAAAUCGAACCCGGGACCCCUACAUUACUAGUCAGGUGCUCUAACCACUGAGCUAUCCAGGCAGAUAUCUUCGGCAUCCCCCCUUGGAGAAGUGGGCCUAGCCCUUCAUUUAAACAAUUUUGAUUCAUCUUUAUCCAAGGAUGCUCUGUACAAGUGGUUUUAUGGAAGAAGUUGAGAAAGUGCCAAGUUUACAAACUAAUGAUGAUCAGGAAAACUUCAGCUUUAGUUCAGCUGAACUAAAAUGUCACAGUUUUUGCUUCAAGUACACAAGUAUUAAAUAUGUAAUUCACUGUC